AGACCCACCGAGGACAGCUCAGCAGGGCUAAGGAACACUCUGCUGCUCAGGCCCCCAACUGAUAAGUGAUUGAGACUGUCUGUGAAUCAUGGAUACUUGGACAUGCUGAGCCUGGGGAAGAAUCACCCUGGACUGAUGCCCGAACCGAAUAGGCCUGGUCCAGCUGGCCUUUCCAGGUCUCAAGUACAAACCGAUGGCAAGGAUCUCUCUGGACACCACAGGGAUGUGGAGGCGAGAGUGAAGUCUUGGAGCACACAGAUGAUACUUCAAGUCCUGAUUCUGCCACUUGCUCAAUGAAUGGAAAAAAUGAUGGGUGCAGUCUAAAUAUCAGCCGGAUUAUGGUAAAUUUCAGCUCGCUGCAGGAAAAUUUUAUGGAGACAAAGAAAAAGAUAAAGGCCUCCAAACCAGUGAAUAUGCCAAGUUUUAUGCCUUCUCAACCAGGCUGAAGCAUUCAGCAAUGAGAAUGAGAGCUUGGUGUUUCAGUUUUCAGUAAAACACGAGCAAAGUAUCGAUUGUGGUGGCGGAUAUGUAAAACUCUUUCCUGCCACCCUGAACCAGGAGGAUAUGCACUCAGGAUCCGAGUAUUACAUCAUGUUUGGCCCUGACAUUUGUGGCUUUGGCAACAACAAAGUACAGGUCAUCCUUCAUUAUCGAGGGAAAUACCAUGAGAACAAGACCAUCAAGUGCAGGGUGAGUGUGUGCUGGUCCUC
rnacentral:sRNA from 1 species